rnacentral:rRNA from 1 species
ACCUCUUCCCAUCCCGAACAGAGAAGUUAAGCUCACCAACGCCGAUGGUACUGCUACACCAAGUGGGAGAGUAGGUAGCCGCCAACU